UACGAAGGGGGCGAGCGUUGUUCGGAUUUACUGGGCGUAAAGGGCGCGUAGGCGGCCUUGUCAGUCAGGCGUGAAAGCCCCGGGCUCAACCUGGGAACGGCGCUUGGGACGGCGAGGCUGGAGUUCGGGAGAGGAGAGUGGAAUUCCCAGUGUAGAGGUGAAAUUCGUAGAUAUUGGGAAGAACACCGGUGGCGAAGGCGGCUCUCUGGGCCGACACUGACGCUGAGGCGCGAAAGCGUGGGGAGCAAACAGG
rnacentral:rRNA from 1 species